AAAAAUACGAAAAUUCAAUAUAAUUAAAAAUAAAAUAAAAGUAGAUAAAAGGAAUAAUUGAAAAUGGAAAAAGAAAAAUAAGUGAAGGAGGGGGCUACCCAAUUUGGGCUAUUACACUCGAACUCGUACUGGCCCAGAGCAAUUCCCAAACUCGUCGCCCAAGCCCAGAUGCCCAACCCGGUCUGCUCACCCUCACCACCAAACGAUGUCGCUUAGAAGAGGGGUUCAAUCUUGGCCUUUCAUUUCAGUGAUCCAUGGUUCGUAUUAGUUGACUAGGGUUAGAUAUAAUUGUCCUAAAUACAAUCGCCUUCCUCAUACAAGAACUCCUUUGUUCUCUCAUGGCCAGCCUCGCUCAGCUCCGUCACCGGAAAUCUCCCACGGCGGCGGAGAACCACCAAUCACCACCAAAAUAGUACCCUUGAACCUCCUUGACCCCCUCAGCCCAAAUAUGCAACCAUUGGCCUUCAAAUACCAACCAGUUGUUUCGAAAAUAAAAUCGAAAUUGGCGGCCAAAUCCCUUACUUACCCAAGUGAACCCAAAUUCACACCACACCUUCCUUAGAUUUCCUUCAUCUCAUAUAUUCGGGAAAUACUGUAGGAAAUGUGAAAUUGAAAUUGGCGGCCAAAUCCCUAAAUCACCAAAGUGAACCCAAAUUCACCCCCCACAGCAUCCAUGACUCCCACAUCUUGAAUUCCUAAUCGAAGCCCUUCAUAACCCUCUGAAAUUCAUCGAAUUGGAAAGGCUAGGGUUUGUCUGUUUCAAGUGUGUUUUGAAGAUCUUGUGAAGUUGAGUCGAUUCUCCGUUAACGUUAUUUGAUUAUUCUAGUUGGAAUGGGCAAGUAACAUUAACAAGGCGUUGAUUCUAUUUCAAGUUUGUUCCAAGCAGAGUUUGG
rnacentral:lncRNA from 1 species